CUUAGUUUAUCUAAAUAAGAUCCCUGAAAGAUGAUCAGGUUGAUAGGUUCGAGGUGGAAGUGUGGUGACACAUGGAGCUGACGAAUACUAAUAGAUCGAAG
rnacentral:ncRNA from 1 species